rnacentral:rRNA from 1 species
CCUACGGGCGGCUGCAGUGAGGAAUAUUGGUCCAUGGGCGAGAUCCUGAACCCGCCAAGUCGCGUGAGGGAUGACGGUCCUAUGGGUUGUAAACCUCUUUUGUCGGGGAACAAAACCCGCGACGUGUGCCGGUAUGCGUAUAUCCGAAAAAAAAGGCUCUGCUCACUCCGUGCCAGCAGCCGCGGUAAUACGGAGGAUGCGAGCGUUAUCCGGAUUUAUUGGUGUUUAAGGGUGCGUCGGCGUUCCGUUAAGUCAGCGGUAAAAUUGAGGUGCUCAACCCCGUUGAGCCGUUGAAACUGGCAGUCGUGAGUGGGCGAGAAGUACGCGGAAUGCGCGGUGUAGCGGUGAAAUGCAUAGAUAUCGCGCAGAACUCCGAUUGCGAAGGCAGCGUACCGGCGCCAGACUGACGCUGAGGCACGAAAGCGUGGGGAUCGAACAGGAUUAGAUACCCCGGUAGUC